GACGUAGGGCGCGAGCGUUGUCCGGAUUUAUUGGGCGUAAAGAGCUCGUAGGCGGUGUGUCACGUCGGCCGUGAAAACCUGCAGCUUAACUGUGGGCGUGCGGUCGAUACGGGCAUCACUGGAGUUCGGCAGGGGAGACUGGAAUUCCUGGUGUAGCGGUGAAAUGCGCAGAUAUCAGGAGGAACACCGGUGGCGAAGGCGGGUCUCUGGGCCGAUACUGACGCUGGAGGAGCGGAAAGCGUGGGGAGCAAACAGG
rnacentral:rRNA from 1 species